rnacentral:rRNA from 1 species
AACGAACGCUGGCGGCAUGCCUAACACAUGCAAGUCGAACGAGACCUUCGGGUCUAGUGGCGCACGGGUGCGUAACGCGUGGGAACCUGCCCUUAGGUUCGGAAUAACUCCCCGAAAGGGGUGCUAAUACCGGAUAAUGUCUUCGGACCAAAGAUUUAUCGCCUUUGGAUGGGCCCGCGUUGGAUUAGCUAGUUGGUAGGGUAAAAGCCUACCAAGGCGACGAUCCAUAGCUGGUCUGAGAGGAUGAUCAGCCACACUGGGACUGAGACACGGCCCAGACUCCUACGGGAGGCGGCAGUGGGGAAUAUUGGACGAUGGGCGAAAGCCUGAUCCAGCAAUGCCGCGUGAGUGAUGAAGGCCUUAGGGUUGUAAAGCUCUUCUACCCGGGAUGAUAAUGACAGUACCGGGAGAAUAAGCUCCGGCUAACUCCGUG